ACAAGUCUUGUGAAACGCUGUAAGAAUUUUAAACAAGCUGGUCCCAGAUGACGUUUGCAGCGUAAACCCAAUAACAUGCCGCACAUGAUCAAUAAUAAUUUGGCUCCUCACAGCGGAGCUGCUAUAGUGACUGCAUGCAUGGAACUGACUAUCUUGGCGCAGUUGGCCCACACAGGCUUCCAUAGCGCUGCUCGGCGCAUGCGCAGUUGCUUCGGGGAGACGCUACCGGAAGUCUCAUUGGGCAGAUCUGGAUGUGUUAUUUAAUAAGGGUCAAAAACAGAAGAACAGAGCUGGCUUUGUGUGCCUGUGCGAUGCUGAGGCAACCAGACACAUGACAAGGAGCAGUCAAACAGUGACAAAACCAGAUGGCAUGUCAAAUAGAUUGGAUUUAUAAUGAAACCUACAUUUGUUUUUCACAAUAACUUUAGAGUUUUAGUGCAAAAUUCCAGAAUUAUUUAACAAAGAAAACAGUGAAUAUUAUCAAUAUCAGUUCAUUUUCUGAAGGGCAUCAUAUAUAUAAUAAAGUAUAAUAGGCAACAUAGGCGAGAUUACAUAUACGGCGCAGGCUUCAGGGCAAGCGCUGCAACCCGCACCACUUGUAAUUUCACCUCGCACAUCGGGGUAUCCAAUAAACCCCGAAGUAAGUUCAUAAAGUGCCGUAAGUUGGAUAAACUAGCAAUGUCCAGAAAUGAGCGUAAAUAGAAAUUUCUGGAGUCACUAGUGACUUAUGGCACUUUAGAAACUGCCGGCGCCUAAGAAAAGUAAAAAAAUAACUAAUCUCCCGUAAAAGUCUAACAUGCCUCCCAAAAAUACGCCCAACACGUAAAACCUCUACAUCCGCAAUCCCCCCUCUCACAACUAAUAAUAAAUGUAUUAACCCCUAAACCGACAACCCUCACAACGCAAUAUGCCUAAUUAAACUAUUAACCCCUAUAUCCGCCGACAAACCCACACUGCAAGUAAUAACUAAAUUAUUAACCCUUACAUAUGCCAACCCCAACAUCGCAAACUACCUAUUAAAACU